ensembl:ncRNA F15A2.8 ncRNA
AAAGAGCGCACCCAUUUCAUUUUCAUUUGGGUUACACAUUUCAUCACCACUAAUGGAAAUCGGGUUUGACGAAUGGCAGGGUGAUGUAAUCCGGGAGCGUGUCAGAGUGGGAAGAAGAAGAAGAAGCACAUCUGCUCUUUUUCCGUCCACCAUUUUAUGCCUCCAGAUGGUGAGAAGAGGAGUAAGAAAAAACGGAAGACGUGGGAAGCGAAUAAAGCAGGAGGGGGAAAUCUCAUUAAAAAUUUCUAGGUGCCCUUUGCUCGAUUUCGAUGCCCGAGGGG